AACCAUUAAUAUGAAUCUACUCAGUAUUUCUAACUAAUUAAUGAUCAGGUUCGAGGAUGGCUCGAUCAAUCCAACCAUCAUCAGAUAGUACAAUAGAGUCAUCAUAUGAUGAAUGAUAAUUUCAUCAUUCAGAGAGAACACCAGACGGAUGGCGCCUGCAAUGUCCAUCAGAAAUAUUGGACCCAUUAUCAUUCACCUUAAUGGGAGGCUAUGAUCUAGUUAUCUCCAUAACUAGCUUAUUUUAUGAACCUAAUAAUUUAAAAAAAAUUAAGAAUCAAUUUAGAGAGGAGAUGAAAAGAGAUCAACCAGUAAACCACAAUCCUCCCACUGACUUCACUAAGUCAUUGAAUUAGAUUAGGGUCAUACUAGUUAAAAUGGCACCU
rnacentral:lncRNA from 1 species